UACGGAGGGGGGCUAGCGUUGUUCGGAAUUACUGGGCGUAAAGCGCACGUAGGCGGCUUUUGCAAGUUAGAGGUGAAAGCCCCGGGGCUUAACCCCGGAAUUGCCUUUAAAACUGCAUCGCUAGAAUUGUGGAGAGGUGAGUGGAAUUCCGAGUGUAGAGGUGAAAUUCGUAGAUAUUCGGAAGAACACCAGUGGCGAAGGCGACUCACUGGACACAUAUUGACGCUGAGGUGCGAAAAGCGU
rnacentral:rRNA from 1 species